ensembl:lncRNA
GAACAACAUCCCUUUUCAUUCUCUUUGACAUUCUCAUUCCCUUUUUCAUUCUCUUCCAGAUGUAGACUAUCUGACUGCCUACUACAAAAUCAAGGACAUUCAGGUCAGUCUACCACUAGUUCUCUCUGGUAGUUAAAGGAUAAAUUCUUCUAACAGGGAAAAUGACUGCUCAGCAACUCAGCCUCCUUCUGGGCCUGACAAUGAUUUUGGACCGUUGCUGUUGGUUACACCCUUCCGAGUAAUGUGCAACAGGAAUAUUUGUCUGGUCCCAUAUGCCCUUAAAUGGAAGGCAGCCCAGCACAAAUGACUAAAACCUAGUUUCUUGGCUUUCAGUUGAUCCCUACCAUAGGUAGAUCAAGGCUUCUUCCCUUUCCUUCUGUCUG